rnacentral:lncRNA from 1 species
GUGACAGGCUGGUACCCGCCUGAACUGCGGGUUUCUAAGCUUGCAGCAACCACUCCUUAGCAACUUGAGUGUUGAACUAACGAAUUAUUACUCUGGCUUUAGAACAGAGAAGGAAAAAAUAGAUACAAUCAGUUCUGACAAACCCCCAACAUCUGUUAAGCACCUACUGUGUGCCAGUACUGGAGGUCACUGCCCCCGGGGAGUGUGUUUCUGCAGAGAAAUCAAUCAGUUAACAUCUCUGGAUGUCAGGGGUACUAACAAUGCAGUCAGGACCCCUCUGGCGCUAACCGCGGUAAUACCCGGGAAGCAGUUCUUAAGAGCUCUGGAUGAGAUAGCUGGUGAGGACUGUGAGGGUAAGAGCAGCUCAGGAAAGACUCCAGGGACCAAUUAAUUUGGAGAUUGAGUCUAGAGGAAGAACUGGCAAAGAAGCAUAAAAGCAACAGCCAUGAAGCUGGAAGGAAAACCGAAAUGGGAUAUGACCUAAGCCAGGGGAUGAAAGCAUCUCAAAUGGUAUUUGGUGUCAAAACCGUUGAGAAGUUGGGGUCUGGCCCGGUGGCAUAAAGGUUAAGAUUGUGCACUCGCUUCGGAGGCCCGGGGUUCACAGUCUUGGAUCCCAGGCAUGAUUCUAGCACUGCUUGUCAGGCCAUUCUGUGGCAGCAUCCCACAUAAAAUGGAGGAGGAUUGGCACAGAUGUUAGCUCAGCAACAAUCUUCCUCACAAAAUAAAACACAAAGAAACCUGUUGAGAAGUUGAGUG